AUUGAACGCUGGCGGCAUGCUUUACACAUGCAAGUCGAACGGUAACAGGCCUUCGGGUGCUGACGAGUGGCGAACGGGUGAGUAAUGCAUCGGAACGUGCCCAGAGGUGGGGGAUAACGCAGCGAAAGCUGUGCUAAUACCGCAUGUGAUCUGAGGAUGAAAGCGGGGGACCAGGCAGCAAUGUUUGGCCUCGCGCCUUUGGAGCGGCCGAUGUCAGAUUAGGUAGUUGGUGGGGUAAAGGCCUACCAAGCCGACGAUCUGUAGCUGGUCUGAGAGGACGACCAGCCACACUGGGACUGAGACACGGCCCAGACUCCUACGGGAGGCAGCAGUGGGGAAUUUUGGACAAUGGGCGCAAGCCUGAUCCAGCAAUGCCGCGUGCGGGAAGAAGGCCUUCGGGUUGUAAACCGCUUUUGUACGGAACGAAAAGGCUCUGGCUAAUACCUGGGGCUGAUGACGGUACCAUAAGAAUAAGCACCGGCUAACUACGUG
rnacentral:rRNA from 1 species